GACGAACGCUGGCGGCGUGCUUAACACAUGCAAGUCGAACGGUAAGGCCCUUCGGGUACACGAGUGGCGAACGGGUGAGUAACACGUGGGUGAUCUGCCCUGCACUUCGGGAUAAGCCUGGGAAACUGGGUCUAAUACCGGAUAGGACCAUGGACUUCACGGUUUGUGGUGGAAAGCUUUUGCGGUGUGGGAUGGGCCCGCGGCCUAUCAGCUUGUUGGUGGGGUAAUGGCCUACCAAGGCGACGACGGGUAGCCGGCCUGAGAGGGUGUCCGGCCACACUGGGACUGAGAUACGGCCCAGACUCCUACGGGAGGCAGCAGUGGGGAAUAUUGCACAAUGGGCGCAAGCCUGAUGCAGCGACGCCGCGUGAGGGAUGACGGCCUCGGUUGUAACU
rnacentral:rRNA from 1 species